AGAGCGAACGCUGGCGGCAGGCCUAACACAUGCAAGUCGAACGGACUCUUCGGAGUUAGUGGCGGACGGGUGAGUAACACGUGGGAACGUGCCUUUAGGUUCGGAAUAGCUCCUGGAAACGGGUGGUAAUGCCGAAUGUGCCCUUCGGGGGAAAGAUUUAUCGCCUUUAGAGCGGCCCGCGUCUGAUUAGCUAGUUGGUGAGGUAAAGGCUCACCAAGGCUACGAUCAGUAGCUGGUCUGAGAGGAUGACCAGCCACAUUGGGACUGAGACACGGCCCAAACUCCUACGGGAGCAGCAGUGGGAAUCUUGCGCAAUGGGCAAAGCCUGACGCAGUCAUGCCGCGUGAAUGAUGAAGGUCUUAGGAUUGUAAAUUCUUUCAGUAGGGACGAUAAUGACGGUACCUACAGAAGAAGCCCGGCUAACUUCGUGCCAGCAGCCGC
rnacentral:rRNA from 1 species